rnacentral:lncRNA from 1 species
CGGGGACCUUCGUAGCGGCGCCACUGGCUGCGGCUGCAGAGUGAGAACAAGCAAACGCCCCCCACCGGCAGGGUGGAAGGAAAAUGGAGUGCGUUGGCACUGCGGAGGAGUCACUGCGGUGAGGAUGGCCCGGACACCAAUUUGGGCACCCGCAGGCGCAGCUAGCCGGUGGGGCGCACCUGGGUCUCCUCCGGCUUCCGCGGGAUAUCUGCAGGGCGACUCCCUCCAGAUUCAGUAAACGUCCUGCUGGGGGAGUCCUUCCCCUGCAAAAGGCCCGCCCCUGCCUCCCAUGUCGUGGAGUUAGAGGCAGGGUCCCUGAAAGGGUCUUGGGGUUGGAGGAGUCCUGUGAGGUCACCGAAUGAGUCAGGGUCUGGCCUGGAUCCCAGGCCCAGGGGUCCCGAGGCCCUGGGGCAGCUGGGUAGCUCUGCUGGCCGCCCUGUGUGGGGACUCUCUACCUAUGCAGGUCUGGUCGGACCUGGAGGCAGCGGGUGCUGCUGCUGCGAAGAUUCCCAAGGGCCGGUUGGGGAGGGGCUGCACAAUCCUGGACCUCGCGGGAGUACAGGACCCGCAAAGGCAGGGGAGUCGGAUCAUGUGCCAAGAGCAUCCCGGGGUCCCGGCUGCUGGCUUGACUGCCCUGGUCAUCGCUGCGGUUAUUUGCCGUUGCUACCGCAGAGCAAGCGGCCCCGGUUCUUGAACCACACCUGCGCUUGAUGCUCCUGCAAGUUGAGUCUGACAGCCAGGGCCCCCGCUCCUUGUGGGCUGUUACCUGCUCUUUUCAGCCUGUCUCCAGCUCCGGCGGCUUUCCCUUACUGUAGACUGCACUUCCUGCCGCCGCCUCCUGGGAGAGCGUGGGAUGGUGGGGGAUAACUAGGUUCUGGCAUCCUCACUCCUGCCCACAAGCGAUGGGAUUUAAAUCGCACUGUCCAUGCUGUGCUCAUCGAGGCCCACCCUGCUUUUACUAGGACCCUCCCUGCAGUCCCCACUCCCUCCUCCCCACGAGUCUUGCAGUCAUGGAUUAAUCCCUUCAUUAUUGACCAGCUGCUGCAGGCAGGCCCUGUGUCGUCCUGUAUCACUUUAACGUGACCUCAUUAGUCUUUGAUUUCUCCUUCACUUUCUGGUACAAUAAGAGACUUGUAUCCAGUCUCCUUUUGUACAUUUUUUGCCCUAGACUUAGAAUCAGCCAAUUUCAUUGGUAAAUGUUAUCUGGAGAGUUCAGCCGUGGAAGUGUGCUCAUUGUUACUGGGUUUUCAUUGCUUCUGGGUCUUUUCAGUGGACAGAACUAGAAAAUAUGUAUUUUUUAAAGAGUAAAACACAAUGUGAGUUCAUACUGCAAUUUCCAAUUUACUUUUAAGAUUACAAGAUUUUUACUUAAACUUCCUUGAUUUUAUGCUAUGUCAUUUUUAUGCUGAAAAUUAUGGUUCCUAAUGAUGGAAACAUAGUAAUUUAAUAAAAAUGUCAAUACUAAUAUA